rnacentral:rRNA from 1 species
UACGGGGGAUCCGAGCGUUAUCCGGAUUUAUUGGGUUUAAAGGGUGCGUAGGCGGUUUGAUAAGUUAGAGGUGAAAUGUCGGGGCUCAACCCCGAAACUGCCUCUAAUACUGUUGGACUAGAGAAUAGUUGCGGUAGGCGGAAUGUAUGGUGUAGCGGUGAAAUGCUUAGAGAUCAUACAGAACACCGAUUGCGAAGGCAGCUUACCAAACUAUAUCUGACGUUGAGGCACGAAAGCGUGGGUAGCAAGCAGG